rnacentral:rRNA from 1 species
UACGUAGGGUGCAAGCGUUGUCCGGAAUUACUGGGCGUAAAGCGUGCGUAGGUGGUGAGUUAAGUCUGUCGUGAAAGCCCCGGGCUCAACCUGGGAAUGGCGAUGGAUACUGGCUCGCUAGAGUGCGGUAGAGGAGAGUGGAAUUCCCGGUGUAGCAGUGAAAUGCGUAGAGAUCGGGAGGAACAUCAGUUGCGGAAGGCGGCUCUCUGGACCAGCACUGACACUGAGGCACGAAAGCGUGGGGAGCAAACAGG